AUUGAACGCUGGCGGCAUGCCUUACACAUGCAAGUCGAACGGUAACAGGUCUUCGGAUGCUGACGAGUGGCGAACGGGCGAGUAAUACAUCGGAACGUGCCUAGUAGUGGGGGAUAGCUACUCGAAAGAGUGGCUAAUACCGCAUGAGAUCUACGGAUGAAAGCAGGGGAUCGCAAGACCUUGUGCUACUAGAGCGGCCGAUGGCAGAUUAGGUAGUUGGUGGGAUAAAAGCUUACCAAGCCGACGAUCUGUAGCUGGUCUGAGAGGACGAUCAGCCACACUGGGACUGAGACACGGCCCAGACUCCUACGGGAGGCAGCAGUGGGGAAUUUUGGACAAUGGGCGAAAGCCUGAUCCAGCAAUGCCGCGUGCAGGAUGAAGGCCUACGGGUUGUAAACUGCUUUUGUACGGAACGAAAAGCCCCGGGUUAAUACCCUGGGGUCAUGACGGUACCGUAAGAAUAAGCACCGGCUAACUACGUGCCAGCCGCCGCAGUAA
rnacentral:rRNA from 1 species